GUAGAGAACUAAUAGUCCUGUUGAAGAGAAUAGGACGAAGACAAAAUUUUAUGCUUCUUGCACCAAUGCAGUUGUGAAUCUUCCUCUUGAAAGUGCCAGCCCUUCUAAUGAAUCCUGCUAGUGAAUGAUUCAGAAAGAUAAGUCCCUUAAAAUGAAAAAAAUUAGGACAAAAACAAAAAGGAGAAUACAAGAUAAUAUAAAUCUUAAGGCUGUGAAGAUGAUACUCUAUAGAGCCAAUGAUCUGUGUGUGACUACUCUUCAUAGAUGUAGCAGGGACAAUAGCCGGCUCCCCAUAGCUGUCCCCUUGUCAUCAUUUGCUGUAUUCUUAAAGGGCACACAAUCUAAAGCUAUUGUGGAAGAUGCCUCUUAUCCAUCUUUGCGGGUGGACGUAUGAGUUUUACCUUCCUACCUAGUGUAGCUAGGCGAGUUGCUGGUGGCUCCUCUGGGCUUAUUUUCUUGCACUUCCAGCCACAUGGCCUGCUGUUCGUGCUGGCCUCCUCUUGCAGCUCCACUUGGACAGUGCUAUAAUUAGCAACAAAAAGGGGGGCUGUGACAACUAUUCAGUGGGGAUCAAUGAUUGCUCUUGGUUGCAAAUGUCAAGCUCACUAAACAGAGAGAGAUUUAUUACAGAAUAUUGAAUUGCUCACAAAUUGUUGGGAAGGAAAUGGAUCCAAGCAAAACCUCUACAAAUAAUCCAAGAAUCAAACUGCAGACACAACUUGUAUAGAGCCUCGUCUCACUACAACCUCCGAGGAACUUGGGCACUGCCACUAGGAUAUGGGAGAUCUGGCCUCUUGAUCUGCAAACUUCUCACUGCUGUUUAUGACCACUGCUUAGUCUCAAGCAGAAUCACCCAGCUCCAUGGUUGCUGGGCUAUUUCUGGCCCAGGCCACCCUGAGUAUUUCCAUCAUAAAUGUGCAUCUCCCCACACUUGAACUCUGACUCCUUAAAACAUCAUAAGCCAUGUGCUACCAUCUCAUGUAAUGCAAAUGUUUCCUUUAUAAAUACCAGCAUAUUCACCUUUACCCAAAAAAUGGGGGAACCCAAAUCCCUUCGAUUUAUCUCCCCUCCUGGGAGUUCAUGAUCUUCCCCGAAGAGUCACAAACCCAUCUAGAUAUCAUUUAAACCACUGUCAAAAUUACAAAGAUGAAAGUGUUUUCUUUACAUAUUUUGUUAAAAAAUGAAAUUCAGUCCAGUAAGUUUGAAGAUCUAAGUGAUUUUGUUAAAUGACCCAUGAAUCUGGCAACAUCUCCCCUAGCAAGUAGAAGGGAGCUCCAUUGAGCUGCAGAAGAGGAAAUAUUUUGAAAGGCAGAAAGGGAGCAGAAAAAAAAGAAAAUUGUUAGCAAAGAACAUGUUGUUUUAGGGACAUCACCCUCCUAAAGGGAAUGGAAGGG
ensembl:lncRNA